rnacentral:rRNA from 1 species
UACGUAGGGGGCAAGCGUUGUCCGGAAUCAUUGGGCGUAAAGAGCGUGUAGGCGGCCAGUCAGGUCCGUUGUGAAAACUCGAGCUCAACCUCGAGACGCCGAUGGAAACCGACUGGCUAGAGUCCGGAAGAGGAGAGUGGAAUUCCCGGUGGAUGAGCGGUGAAAUGCGCAGAUAUCGGGAAGAACACCCGUGGCUAAGGCGGCUCUCUAGUACGGUACUGACGCUGAGACGCGAAAGCGUGGGGAGCGAACAGG